rnacentral:rRNA from 1 species
AGCAGCCGCGGUAAUUCCAGCUCCAAUAGCGUAUAUUAAAGUUGUUGCAGUUAAAAAGCUCGUAGUUGAAUUUCGGGAUCAAUACGUCGGUCGUGCUUCGGUACGUACUGGCGUAAUUGAUUUCUCCCUUCUGACGAACCAUGAUGUCAUUAACUUGGUGUCAUGGGAAAUCAGGACUGUUACUUUGAAAAAAUUAGGGUGUUUAAAGCAAGCUAACGCUUGAAUACAUUAGCAUGGAAUAAUGAAAUAGGACGUUCGAUCCUAUUUUGUUGGUUUCUAGGAUUGACGUAAUGAUUAAUAGGGAUAGUUGGGGGCAUUAGUAUUCAAUUGCCAGAGGUGAAAUUCUUGGAUUUAUUGAAGACUAACUACUGCGAAAGCAUUUGCCAAGGAUGUUUUCAUUAAUCAAGAACGAAAGUUAGGGGAUCGAAGACGAUCAGAUACCGUCGUAGUCUUAACCAUAAACUAUGCCGAC